AUAAGACUUUGGUUUCAAGUUCCUUGAAGUUCUUUUUGUUUUUACCAAAGCGCCAUGGUGCUCAGGUUGCAGAAUAUUCUGUGGCUAUACCCCUUUUCUGAAUAUGAUGGUUUGAUUGUGAAAUAGGUUCCGUCCUCGCAUACUCAUUGAUGUGAGCAAGAUAGACAUGACCAGAAUUGUGACUGGGAGCAUUACUCCAAGUUAACCUCUGAGAUUGGAGACAAGGUACAGAUAAGGGGGGAUGACCACUUGGUCACCAACCCAAAGGAGUUCAUGAUCCUUCCCAUAGGAGCCUCCUCUUUCAAGGAGGCAAUGAAGAUGGGUGUGGAAGUAUAUCUUCAUUUGAAGACAGAAAACUAUUAGAGAGGACAUAAUGUUGAGUCGCUGUUGAGAUGCUGUUUUAGGCCUUUUCUUGAUUAGAAAUCAUGGAAGAUUUUCAUUUACAAGUUGCAAGUAUCUUUAUUUGGGAACAUGUGACUCUACUUUGGAUGAUUGGAAAUCACACUGAUUAAAUA